CCAAAGUAAAGAGUGCUAUCAACCCAGUUUCCCAUUAUCUAAAUUACCUGAUACAAAGUAAAACCCAAAUAAGCAUGAUACAACUGACUGCGGUUUUAACCAAAUAUUUUCUGAUGGCCAUCACCACAUUAUUCCAUAAAAUAUUUGAAAUUUAUUACAAGGAUGACCUCCAACAUGAAGAAGGUGAGCUCCAAGAGAGCAGGAAUCGUCUAUGUCUUGAUCACUGCUGCAGCCCCCCAGGCUUAGCACGGAGCAAGCACUGGAAAUACAGUUGUUGGAUAAAGGAAUGAGUGAUCGUCAUAAUAGCGACAUUUAUUAAGCUUUUCCUCUGUGCCAGGCACAGGGCUGCACCUUUUUACAAACACUAUUUCACUGAAUUCUCACAGCAACCCUCCAAGCAAAUGUAUGAAUUCAUUGGCAAGAGGUGAAAGACAAGAUAUGAAUCCCAGGUCAGAGCCAGCCCAGAGAAAUCUCUUGAAGCCUCACUGAGAAGGUGAACACAUGGGUGCCCAGCUGUUUAAUCAGAGUGGCUCUCGAGACUGAAUAUCAGCAUUAAAGCAAAAUAUCAACUCACAGUCCCUUGAGCCUGGGCUGCAGGGGGAUGUCUGAUGCCCUGGACCGUCUUCAGCAAAGAAUCCUAUUAGGAAAGUAGCCCCAGUAUGGUAGAACCAGCAUCUGAAGGGGGAUCUAGAGAUGCCAGAUCUGUCCCAGCUCUGCAUUAACCAGCAAUGAUGUCCCAGGCCAACAUGAAACAACGGCAUCUGCAAAUCCCUGGCUAUCAGAGAAUCUUCUUCUUUGCUAAGGAGAGGCAGUCCCUUUAAGGAUGGACCAAGUCAACCAUCUGAUACAAGAGAUCUGGGGGCUCUCCUUGAAACAAACAACUAAAGAUUUAUUUUUUGAGACGACACAUCAGUGUUGGCUUGACCAGGAGGAAGUUGUGGGCACUGGUGGGGUAAGGGUAGAUUCCCAGAAACAGCAGAGCCAGGCUGGCAAAGUAACUGGUUUGUGCAGUUCUGAUUCUCUCAGGGUUGGGGGAGAGAAAAGGGGAAUGAGUUUAAUUGUUGAAUGUCUACUAUGACCUAUGUGCUUUUUUUAUGGACUUUUAUUGAGAUAUAAUUGACAUACAAUA